rnacentral:lncRNA from 1 species
GAGAAUCGAAGUAAAGGGUGACGAGCUUAUGUUGAGGCACUCGAGGAGGUUGCACCGGGAGUCUUCCGCUUUUUUGAAGCAGGAACGGUAGUCUUCUUGCCUCGUGUGUUUGUCAUGGUGUUCCUGAAAAUAAAAAAAAAGUAAAAAAAAUCAACACCGAAUAUUCUACCAGAUAUCGAAGAAAAGAAAACAAUAAAAUCAAAG